AGCCAUGCUGAUGCGAAAUGACUUGUAUCUGCGUUACACCACCAGUGUCCAUUAAGGCAGCGUCUAACGAUGAUACGCUCGUAUUAAAAGCUUUGACAAAAGACGAGUCUUUUUUUUUUUUUUUUUUUAAAGUAGGAGUCGUUUUUCAAAGUAGGAGUCCGACAGUCCCCACUGUGCUCGCAGGAGCCGCUAAUGCUCUUACGCAAUCGUUUGUUUGGCCUUGCUAUUCAUUUCUGUAGGUCGUGAAGCCGCUCUAAAAGCCCGUCGGAAAGCCUGUGGGUGUGCGAGAGAUUGAAGAAAAAUAACUCGAUAACUAACUUUGCUGAAUGGAGAAGGCUGAAAAGUUAAUCCAACGCGUGACCCAGAGUCAGCAAGAUACUCCUCGAGGUGCUCCCUGAAAUACUCCGGGAAGAAGUCUACGGCUGGUGUUUUUGUCAGUCAUGUGACCACUUCAUAUCAAGAUACCUCUGAACGGAGCUCUCAACAACUGGACGCUACAGCCUGGAGAUGGUACCGCUUGGAGUACCACGAUAUGGUCUUGGACUUCAAUUCUACAUGGACGUUCUCGCUGUGGUUGCUGGGACUACGGUUGCUGCGAUGGCAAUUACCACAUGCAGUUUUGCACGCAGGUCUCCUUUAGUGAGCAGCGGACUAGUUCAACAAAGACUUC
ensembl:lncRNA